GACGAACGCUGGCGGCGUGCCUAAUACAUGCAAGUAGAACGCACAGUUUAUACCGUAGCUUGCUACACCAUAGACUGUGAGUUGCGAACGGGUGAGUAACGCGUAGGUAACCUGCCUGGUAGCGGGGGAUAACUAUUGGAAACGAUAGCUAAUACCGCAUAAUAUUAAUUAUUGCAUGAUAAUUGAUUGAAAGCUGCAACUGCAUCACUACCAGAUGGACCUGCGUUGUAUUAGCUAGUAGGUGAGGUAACGGCUCACCUAGGCGACGAUACAUAGCCGACCUGAGAGGGUGAUCGGCCACACUGGGACUGAGACACGGCCCAGACUCCUACGGGAGGCAGCAGUAGGGAAUAUUCGGCAAUGGACGAAAGUCUGACCGAGCAACGCCGCGUGAGUGAAGAAGGUUUUCGGAUCGUAAAGCUCUGUUGUAAGAGAAGAACGGGUGUGAGAGUGGAAAGUUCACACUGUGACGGUAUCUUAUCAGAAAGGGACGGCUAACUACGUG
rnacentral:rRNA from 1 species